GAUGAACGCUGGCGGCGUGCCUAAUACAUGCAAGUCGAGCGAAGCGGGGACGGGUGAGUAACACGUGGAUAACCUCCUAUAAGACUGGGAUAACUUCGGGAAACCGGAGCUAAACCGGAUACUUAUAGAUGGUUCCACGCUGGAUUAGCUAGUUGGUAAGGUAACGGCUUGCAAAGGCAACGAUGCAUAGCCGCACGUAGAGGGUGAUUGACCACAAUGUAACUGGGACACGGGCCAGACUACAACGGUAGGCAGCAGUAGGGAAUCUUCCGCAAGGGGCGAAAGCCUGAAGGGGCAACGCCGCUUGAGGGAUGAAGGUCUUCGGAUCGUAAAACUCUGUUAUUAGGGAAGCGGAACCUAAGCAGAAAGCAACGGCUAACUACGUGCCAGCAGCCGCGGUAAUUC
rnacentral:rRNA from 1 species